rnacentral:misc_RNA from 1 species
AAGUCGUAACAAGGUUUCCGUAGGUGAACCUGCGGAAGGAUCAUUAUCGAGUUUUGACUGGGUUGUAGCUGGCCUCCCGAGGCAUGUGCACGCCCUGCUCAUCCACUCUACACCUGUGCACUUACUGUGGGCUUCAGACGUCGUGAAGCGGGCUCUUUACGGAGCUUGUAGAGCGUGUCUGUGCCUGCGUUUACCACAAACUCUAUAAAGUAUUAGAAUGUGUAUUGCGAUGUAACGCAUCUAUGUACAACUUUCAGCAACGGAUCUCUUGGCUCUC